UACAGAGGUCCCAAGCGUUGUUCGGAUUUACUGGGCGUAAAGGGUGCGUAGGCGGCUAGGUAAGUUUGAUGUGAAAUCUCCGAGCUCAACUCGGAAACGGCAUUGAAUACUAUCCCGCUUGAGGGUCGGAGGGGAGACUGGAAUUCUCGGUGUAGCAGUGAAAUGCGUAGAUAUCGAGAGGAACACCAGUGGCGAAGGCGGUUCUCUAGUACGGUACUGACGCUGAGACGCGAAAGCGUGGGGAGCGAACAGG
rnacentral:rRNA from 1 species